AGGUGUUUUCCUCUGAGCUAUUAGAAAGUUAAUCGUUAACACAUUCAGUUCAGAAUCAGAGGGUGAUUAGAUUAGACAUGUCCUGUCAGACUAAAUGUCUAACAAGUGUCAAGUGAGUCCCACUGAGUCAGGAGCCGCCACAGACUGAUGACUAUUGAGAAGAAAUGAUGGGAAAGAAAACAACUAAGCAACUAAGUCUACUAAGAAACAAAAAGGAGAGAAGGUGAAAACAGUAGACUGAAGGAGCAUCGGUGCCAGAAUGGUGGGACAUCUGUAAUGGAGCUUGGCAGUGGAGUGACAGCAUCAGUUAUUUUGUUUUACUCUGCAUCAUAAGUGGACAAAAUAUAUAAAUUGUCUCUGGCUCCUGCAGAGCUUCAGUGUGUCCGGAGGAAUUAACAGACCAAGACCUCUGCCACCAGAGACAAGCCCUCAAGCCCUCACAAGAAUAACACUGUGUUGCAAUGCCUGAGCGAGGAGAAAAAAAAUUAAGGGAAAUUCCCAGGAGCAGUCCAGACAGUUUACACAAAGAGACACAGACUAGACUUCUCUCACCAUCCUCCAAUUACUGGCGUUGCGUAUUUUCUUAUCAUACAUACACUGUGUGUGUUUGUGUUUGUACAAGUCUCAUCUCAUCCCUGUAAGCCAUUUAAUAAGAAGACCCCUGGAUGGAAGAAGGAAAGAAGGUGUGGUAUUUGAGCAUGUUUGUUGUACCUGGAAGGAGUGUUCUUUGCGGCGCGUGUUAAGUCAUAUAAAAAAUGUCUUUACAAAAUAUUAACUAGCAUCCUUGCUUUUCCCUCUGUGUUGGGGAGUAGUAUGUAGUGGCGCUGCAUAAUUUUUCAGUAGCCUGACAUUAGCUCAUUUAUUCUCAAAAUAGUGUAAAAUUUUCCUAUAACAAACCAUUUUUUAAACAUGUUGUGGUGUAGCAUGACAAAACUCCACUGCUGUUAUGCUUUGUCACUGUUCAUUAUGCUAAUAGCCUUACAGCUAAG